rnacentral:rRNA from 1 species
UAGUAAUCGCGGAUCAGAAUGCCGCGGUGAAUACGUUCCCGGGUCUUGUACACACCGCCCGUCACACCAUGGGAGUCGGAAAUGCCCGAAGUCUGUGACCCAACCAUUAAGGAGGGAGCAGCCGAAGGCAGGUCGGAUGACUGGGGUGAAGUCGUAACAAGGUACC